GCAAUGGAGUUCAGCGCGUCAGAGCUACACCUCUGCUGAGCCGUCAAGGCAGUGGAGCUCCGAGCCUAAAAGCUACAAUGUUGAAUCCUCGAGGUCUUGGAAUUUGGGCCAACAGGGCCAGAACCCGGAGGGAUCGAGGCAAUGGAACCUGGGGAAGCAAGAUGCUUACAACCCGAGUGAUGGUCGAAGAUCGUAUGAGCCUCAAAGCUACAAUGUUGAAUCCUCGAGGUCUUGGAAUUCGGGCCAGCAGGGCCAGAACCCGGAGGCAUCGAGGCAAUGGAACCUGGGGAAGCAAGAUGCUUACAACCCGAGUGAUGGUCGAAGAUCGUAUGAUCAGCACUGGAGGAGAUAGCAAGAGUUGUAUAUUAGCUGGGUCCUGGAGGCGGUUCUUGGGAGAUUUUCUUUCAUUUGAUGUUAGGCCUGUU
rnacentral:lncRNA from 1 species